rnacentral:rRNA from 1 species
AGUGAACGCUGGCGGUAGGCCUAACACAUGCAAGUCGAACGGCAGCACAGUAAGAGCUUGCUCUUACGGGUGGCGAGUGGCGGACGGGUGAGGAAUACAUCGGAAUCUACUUUUUCUUGGGGGAUAACGUAGGGAAACUUACGCUAAUACCGCAUACGACCUACGGGUGAAAGCAGUGGAUCUUCGGACCUUUCGCGAUUGAAUGAGCCGAUGUCGGAUUAGCUAGUUGGCGGGGUAAAGGCCCACCAAGGCGACGAUCCGUAGCUGGUCUGAGAGGAUGAUCAGCCACACUGGAACUGAGACACGGUCCAGACUCCUACGGGAGGCAGCAGUGGGGAAUAUUGGACAAUGGGCGAAAGCCUGAUCCAGCCAUGCCGCGUGGGUGAAGAAGGCCUUCGGGUUGUAAAGCCCUUUUGUUGGGAAAGAAAAGCAGCAGGUUAAUCCACCGCUGUUCUGACGGUACCCAAAGAAUAAGCACCGGCUAACUUCGUG